GAUGAACGCUAGCGGGAGGCCUAACACAUGAAAGUCGAACGGGAUUGAGAGGUUGCUCCAAUGAGAGUGGCGCACGGGUGAGGAACGCGUAUGCAACUGGCCUGUAGCAGAGGGAUAGACCAUAGAAACGAUGAUUAAUACCUCAACGUUCUGAGGGGUCGAAUGAUUUCUCAAAUAAAGCCUCGGCGGGUCAAGAUGGGCAUGCGUGACUUUAGCUUGUUGGUGAGGUAGCGGCUCACCAAGGCGAAGAGGUCUAGGGGUUCGGAGAGGAUGAUCCCCCACACUGGUACUGAGACACGGACCAGACUCCUACGGGAGGCAGCAGUGAGGAAUAUUGGUCAAUGGGCGCAAGCCUGAACCAGCCAUCCCGCGUGCAGGAUGACGGCCCUAUGGGUUGUAAACUGCUUUUAUACACCAAGAAAAAUCCGAACGUGUUCGGACCCGAUGGUAGUGUAUGAAUAAGCAUCGGCUAACUCCGUGCCAGCAGCCGCGGUAACAC
rnacentral:rRNA from 1 species